AAACAACGAUGUGGACACUUUCUCAUUAAUUCCUUGUAUCUUUCCCAUGCUUCAUACAAGGAUUCACUUUCGCUCUACACAAACGAAGUGGUGUCGUUUCUCAUUUU